CAGCAGCCGCGGGAAUACGAAGGGUGCAAGCGUUACUCGGAAUUACUGGGCGUAAAGCGUGCGUAGGUGGUGGUUUAAGUCCGUUGUGAAAGCCCUGGGCUCAACCUGGGAAUUGCAGUGGAUACUGGGUCACUAGAGUGUGGUAGAGGAUAGUGGAAUUUCCGGUGUAGCAGUGAAAUGCGUAGAGAUCGGAAGGAACAUCUGUGGCGAAGGCGACUAUCUGGGCCAACACUGACACUGAGGCACGAAAGCGUGGGGAGCAAACAGGAUUAGAUGCCCCGGUAGUCCCUGUCUCUUAUAC
rnacentral:rRNA from 1 species